AAUUGCGAGCAAAAUGAAAAAAUAGCUACCACUUUCUAAAUAACCAUUGGUUUGCGAGCAAAUAGCACUCGCAAAAAGACCAUUGUCGCAUUGCCUUCCAUUUCGAGCACUGGUGUGCUCGCAACUUUGGUAGUAGUUCUUUGUAAAUAAUUUGUUGGGCCGCAUUUUAUAGCAAAUAUUGGCGCAAGAUAAAACCCAAUUUAUUUUAAACAUUUAUCUUCAUCUCCCCUGUUUCCGAUAGUCACACGCCGCUGCGUUUGUGGCCUUCCGACGAAAAAAAAGUCCACCACCACCGAUCUGCGGCCUAAGAUGGCGAUGACUCUAGAAAAACUUUCAGAAUUACAGACCUCAACGGAAACAGUCUUCAGCCUCCACAACCGCCGUCUUGCUCGACGCCGCCGGUAACCCUAUCAUCACAAGAUCAAAUCUAAAUCUCGGUCGUCUGAGUCAAUUGAUCAAAUCUAUAUCUCGAUCGUGCAACUUCUGACGGCGCAUAGGAGAUGGUAGGUUUUCAGAUGAGAGCGGAUUCAAAGAAUAUGCUUUUUUUAGUGUGAGAAAGUCAUCGAUGAUUCAGUUCAAGACGAAGCUGGAUAUGUCCAUGGUUGCUAAUUCCAAAGAGGAUCGCUGUGAUUUUAGGAUUGAUGGCAGCUGGUUUAAGCGAUCAUGCGCCAUAUACGCCAGAGACACCAAUAAUGACAUUGCUCAAGUAAGAUCCAGAUUUAAAACCUCUUUUUUCUCUAAUUUAAAUCUAUCCAUUAAUGAUGUAACUAUUAUGCACUUGGUUUAUGGUGUAUCUUAUUCUUCAUCUGCUUUACUCAAUGGAUUCUACUGCUAAUUGGCUUCAUUCGAUCUUUGUUGAGGUAAUUCUGUAUCUAAGAGCCUUACCACCAUUAUGUGAUUUGCACAACUAACAUAACCCCUUGACAAAUUGUUUGAGUUUUAUAUUUGCUUAGUAACAAGUAUUUUAUAUGAUGUUGUUGGAAAACUCCAUGUUUCUAGACAGAGGCCAAAAAUAUUGUGAGUGAUCAAAGGUCUAAACUAUUGACAAGUAGAAGUGCACAGAGGCCUAUGUUAUGAUAUACCUUAAGGAGCUCAAAACAAGGAAUUUGCACCCUUCUUCAAUCAGAUUUUACAAUUUUGAAUGCCAAGAAAGCCGUUGUCUAAUUAGACCUUUUCAAACAUGGCACCAAAACUAAACUGUUGUAGAUGUUUACAAAGACAAAGUAUGAGGCUUACUCUAAUAUUAAGUAGUAACUCUCAGGAUAUAUUCCGGAUUACUCCCUGCAGCUAUUUCACUUAUAGCAAGAAAAUGUCGACGGCUCCUCCAAUGUUAUUCAAACGAACGGAUGCUCGAAGACGGUGGUGCUGAUAGAGGCGAGCAGACUCGGAGAAACAAACUGCUGCAUUGGUAGAACAAGUGAAAAGCCUUUAUUCAACAAUUCCUACAAAUGAAAGGAAGCUAAGGAUAUAGAUUAAGCAAUGUAGACUCCAUGAAGUGUGUAAAACAAUUUUAUUUAAUUGAAUACAUUUCUGAAUUCCAUUUA